GGACGCCGAAGGACAGCAGAGUUGGUUGAUGGAGAGCAUCUGGUCAGCCUCCUGGCGUGCGUGGCAGGGCUGAGAAGGUGGCAAGUGAAUAUGGGGCUGGGGCUGGAAGACAUCCACGGCAGAUGACUGUAAGUGCUAUGGAGAAAAAUAAAGUAGGAAAGAGAGACAAGGAGGAAAUAGGGUAAGGAACAGAAAGAUAAAGAGAUUGCGACUUACCUGAGGUCACACACCGGUGAGACUAAAACUAUGCCUGUGAUGACACCACUGAAGCAUCUACGGCACGGAUGCCCACUCUUCUGUCAGAGUCCACGUGUCAGCCAGUACCAAGAUUUCAUUAACCAAUUUAUGAAAGAGAAUCAUUUCAUCAUGUGGAGUUUUCCAGUGUAAAUAUCUACUUGCUCUUCUAUCAAGGUAAACAGGUUUUAUUCAUGAUAAUACAGUAUGUACAGACAUAAUUUUUUUACAGUUUAAACAAUCACUUUUACAUUUGUUAUUUUAAUCUUUGUACAAAUUCUGUGAGAUAUUACCAUUUCCUUCAUUUUAUAGAUGAGAAAUCUGAGAUUGAGUAACUUAGGACACGUGUUGCCAAUAAGUGGUGGGUCUGGAAUCCAAAUUCAGAGAUGAAAACCCACUAAUGAAUCCAGCAUGUAAUUACAUUUCUGUUUUCUAUCGGCAAAUGUAUGAUUGUGAGUAACAGCUGUUAUUUGAUGAAAAACUAGAAAACUUUCUAAUGCAGAGAUCAUGGCUUCUAUCCCAAUAGUUAGUAUUCCUGAAAAGGUUCCUUGGAUCAUUAGUGACUACCUUAAAAAGAGAUUCUG
rnacentral:lncRNA from 1 species